UACGUAGGGGGCGAGCGUUGUCCGGAUUCAUUGGGCGUAAAGCGCGCGUAGGCGGCUUUGCAAGUCGAGUGUGAAAUCCCCAGGCUUAACCUGGGAACUGCAUUCGAGACUGCAUAGCUAGAGUAUGGGAGAGGGAAGUGGAAUUUCAGGUGUAGCGGUGAAAUGCGUAGAUAUCUGAAGGAACAUCAGUGGCGAAAGCGACUUCCUGGACCAAUACUGACGCUCAUGUGCGAAAGCGUGGGGAGCAAACAGG
rnacentral:rRNA from 1 species